UGAGUCAUGAAAAUGUAUUUCUUAUUGUAGAUUUUAGUCAACACAGUUGGAAAGUCACUGAUUUAGAAGACCUUUCAGCUCUAAGUUUCUCUAAUUCUGUGAUUUCACCUCACCUGUUACUGACCUUGUAAAUCACCACAUGAUACUAACAAAUCCAAAUUUGUUUCUGCUUUGCUACAGAGUCAAGCACCAGAUGUGUCCAUUAUCAGCAUAUUCUAAAGAAUGUUUAUGCUUCCAGAACUGCCCAAUCUCCUGUGGCCUCUUCUGGCCUCUUCUUCUCUUAUGACCUGAUUCUGGUAUUUUUCGCUGACCAAUAGAGCUAAGAUAAAACUGGACUACAUAGCUACAACUGUUUUGUGUAAAAUGAGAAAAAAAGAUUUUUUUUAAUGAGGUAAAAAAGUCAUCCUGCCAAACUAUAGAAUGAGAAAAAUAUAAAAGCCCACCUGAGACAUGAUCUCAGACAGUAUAUAAUUUAAUUAAAACAUGAUGUUUAGAGGAGCUGGAAUAGAGAGCAUAACAAAACCAAGAUAAACUAAAACCCUAGAGAAACUAUCAGCAGAGUUUCCCAGCCUCUUACUCUUCAAAUUCCUCGUAUCCAUUCUGAGAAUACUGUUGAACCUACUUUAAUCUCCAAGAGCAAUUAAGUUAGGCACAUUAUUUUGCAACUUGAGAUUUAUAAGACAUUCUUUUAGUGAUAGCGAUUUUUUGGUAUAGUGUGCAUGGGGCAAGAGGUACCACCUUUCCCUUUCACUUCCAUUCUAUCAUCACAGAAAAUUGUAUCAGGAUCACGUGAGGGAACUUUUCAGUUACCCCUGUACACCCAGAAAUUCUAAGAAUCAAAGAGUAUAUGCACUCACAUUUUCACAUCUUUCCACAUCUAAAGUCCAUCCCAGUAGCGCAUAGUUAUGACUAGAAUUUUUUAGUUAUAUGACACCUUUGCAAAAUACUUCCCCACCCCAUAUCUAAUUGAUUUACACAGAUGCCAGGGAGCUUUUGAAGUGUGAUCAUACGUAAACGUGUCUGGCAAACUGAGGACACAGGAAAGAGUGACUAAUAGAAGUCAAAUUUCAAGUAGAGUCAGCAGGGGCUUGAGAGAGACUUAAUAUCAAGGACAAAAUAUAGGAAGGUUGAGGAGAAUUUGCAGAGUUGGAAAGGAAAAGUAGUUUCAGAUACACAGCUAAUACUGUAAUCUCUCCCACCUAGCCUCUGCGUUGGUUUAGAUAUACCAGAAAGAGAAAAGGGCCAUUUUUGCUAACUAAAGGAGCUAUCCCACUACUUAACACCUAGGAGUCUAAGUUCCUUGCUAAGGAAUCUCCAUAACCAAACAUAUUCUACAGGAGGAAUGCCAUUCCCAUGCCCACUUUGUAGCAGAAGAAUUGGGUGGGAUGAGAGCACUGAUGACCUGAGCCAUCAGGCUGGCUGCCUUCUCUGGCAGUGGGUCCUGUUCAGUAGAGGUAAGUGUUGUAGCCCUGCCUAGCAUCCACAGCAGUAAGUGUGUGCCUUCAGUUAGAUGGCAUCAGUGACUGAAGAUCCCUAGAUCUGAGAGUAGAAGCAAGGACAGUGGUGCUAUUGAAUCCUAAAUCAACAGGUUGUGUGUCUCUGUUGCUGAGACUACCCAUAGCAGGCCUUCUGCAGUGACAACAGAGGCAGCAGCAAAAAGCAGGACUCAUUUAGGGGUACAUGGAAAAUAUCCUUGAAGAAUCUCAGAUAUAUCUGGGUAGAACUUUGCAGGGCUGGAAUGCCCGAUAAUAUAGUACAAAACUUUAGCCAGUGAAAUUUAGAUUCAACUGAUGGAAUUGUUACAAACUGGUGAGGCCUAUAGAUAUUUGUAUUGUAUUAAAAAAGGAGUAACUUUAUUUUAAUCCCAAACUGAAAUCACAAAGCCAUUUCUGAAACAAGGGUAUUAAACAUCCAUGGUUUAUCUUUGCCAGCAGAGUAAUUGCAAAGAAACCAUAUUCACAGAACAAACACUUAUUAGGAACAAUAACAACAGGGUGGCCCAUCAGGUAGGUGAUAUUUAUCAAUCAUUUAUAAAGUAUACUGCACUAUGCAAGGUUUUGGAAGAUGAACAGAAAUUCACCAGUUAGACUUAGGUGCUCACAAAUAUCUCCUGAUCUAUCUGACUCAAAUUCUUCUGAGAGUGAAAAAAAGCAUAGUAGUUUAUAGUUUAUUCAGUAAGAGUCGGAAUUUUCUCUAUACUUAAGAGGAGUGGAGAUAAUCAAUUAUCUCAAUUAACUUUUCUGGGAGCUUUCAAAAAAUUUAAGCAAAAUUAGCAUUGGUUAAUCUUGAAACAUUAUCUUGUAAACCUCAAAAUGAAUUUAAUUUCUCAGUUCCUGUGAAAUAUCAAUUCCAGGCUUAGUCCUUCAGUUAAUGAGACUGUAUUGAAUUCAGUACUGCCUCAGGCACUUUUGGCAUUUGGCAGUAAGCAUUGCUAUGGAUAAAAACAGUGCUAAAAAGACACCACCUAAUUCUUUGAAAAUCUAAAGUUUGACUGGGAAGGUAAACGACACAAAAUGAAAGAAAUCAAGAUUAUAAUUUCCAGAAUCUUGUUUUGCCCUUUCUGUGGAAUAUCUAUGUAAUCCCACAAAUACUUUAUUUUCACACAAUAUCAUGUGAGUAUUUUUGAAAGAAUUAUUCAAUAUGCACAGGAAUAUAAAAAAGAUAAAUAGAUAAUUGAUGUAAACAGUGCCUAUGAUGGAGGAAGAAUCCGUUUUGAACAAAUACUUUCACACUUGCUGAUUGUCUUAGUUCACAUUCAAUAAUGGGCCCAUGAUCUUGUUGAAGGCCACAUAUCAUAAAGUUAGUAAAAAUGUAUUCAUGGAAAAAGGGAGUCCAGAAAGAGGAAAUGGAAAAUUAGGUAAUAUAUUUCAAAAUAAGGCUGCUGUCUUGUAGGUAACUGAGAACUGGUGAAUAAUUUUGGUUAUGUAUAUAGCUAUAGACUAUACACAUAUAUACCUAAGCACAAUCAGUUGUUGAAUUAAAAAAAUGAAAUAACUUUUCCCCAAAUAAUUGGUUUGCUCCUCAAGAAAUCAUAAACUAAUUAAACUUCUGGAUUAGAGAAAAAUGUAAAGUUAUUUACUUCAAGAAUCCACUUAAAAGUCAAAAUUUCUAUACAUUGUUUUUAGAAAAUGUUUGUCUCUUCAGCCUCUGGUUGGUCCCUCUGUGAUGGAGAAUUCAUAGGACACCAGGGCAGGCUGAACUCCUGGUUGUCUCUUCCCUGCUCCAUUAUUGCCAGCAUUCAUUUCCAUGGCCACUGGCAAUAAAUGUACCUCUUGUAGACACUUUGUCACCCUCAAUUCACUAUCCUUUUGUUCAAUUUAUUAUUAUUACUAUUUCACUAGCUUUAGGGGUACAAGUGGUUUUUGGUUACAUGGAUUUAUUGUAUAGUGGUGAAAUCUUGGCUUCCAGUGUUAAUUAAAUGAAGAUGUUAUCACCCAUAUUUCAGCCACAUCUCAUUUAUGAUGGUGGAUAUUGUCAUAAAGCCUAUGUGUUGUGAUUCCUCUUCAUCAAAUGACAUUACUAGAAGAUAUACCUUCCAAACAUAGACAGGCUGGGUUUUCCCAGGUCAUCCUUAAUAUUUGACUUUUAACAGAAUUCUGGGCAAAAAAUAUAUUAUCUAAAAUACAACCUAAGUUUUAAUGUGGUAUUAGAAGUAUUACAUGAUUUUCAAAUUUGAGCAGGGAGAUGAGGUUCCAGGUGACAGCAGGAAACAGCAGACUCCUGGCCAGAUGAGACUGAGUAAAACAAGGACACCAAUCUCUUGGAUAUGGGACUGCAGCCACUUGCUGGAAACCCACAAACACUGACCAAGCAAUUGCUGCUUUGGAGGAGGAACAAGCCGCUCUCCAUCCUUUACCACCCUGGGACACUGCCCUACAGAGAUUGUGUUGGGAGUUACCUUGUCUCCUCUGCUCUCCAGCAAGGCAGCCACUGGAAUAGAGUGGAGGCAACAGCAGGAUCAAAAGGAGGGAGGAGAGAAAGAUCAUGCACUUAUGUCCUUCUCUCCUUCCUACUGUGUCACCUCAGCAUCUUCACCAGGAGCAGAUUUCAUCCCAAGAAACCACUUUCUUUGCUCAUCCAUAAGAAGCAACCCUUCAUCUGUUCAAGUUUUAUGACAAGAUUGCAAUAAUUCUGUCACAUCUUCAGUCUCCAAUUCUAAUUCUGGCCCUUUUCUUGUUUGUAUCACAUCUGCAGAUAUUUCCUCCCCUGAUGUCUUGAGCCCUUCAAAGUCAUCCAUGAGGGUCAGAAUAAACUUCUUCCAAUCUCCUGUUAAUAUUGAUAUUUUGACCCCCUCCCAUGAAUUGCAAUUGUUUAAAUGGCAUCUAGGAUGGUGAAUCCUUUCCAAAAGGUGUUCGAUUUUUUUGGCCAGAUCUAUCAGAGGAACCACAUCUAUGGCAGCUAUAAUCUAUAGAAAUAUAUUUCUUACAUAAUAAGACUUGAAAGUCAAAAUUACUUCUUGAUUCAUGGGCUGCGGGAUGAAUGCUGUGUUAGCAGGCAGGAAAACAACAUCUAUCUUCUUGUACAUCUCCAUUAGAGCUUUUAGGUGACCAGGUGCAUUUUCAAUGAGCAGUAAUAUUUUGAAAGAAAUUCUUUUUAUUUUUGAGCAGAAGGUCGCAACAGUGGGCUUACAAUAUUUAGUAAGCCAUGCUGCAAACAGAUGUGCUGUCAUUCCAACUUGGUUGUUUUAUAUAGAGAUAGAACAAACAGAUUAGAUUUAGUAAAAUUCUUAGUGGCCCUGGGAAUUUGGGAAUGGUAAAUGAGCAAUGGCUUCAAAUUAAAGUCACCAGCUGCAUUAUUCCCUAGUAAGGGAGUCAGCCUGUUCUUUGAAGCUUCAAAGUCAGCAAAGUGCUGACUUCUCCUUUCUAGCUAUGAAAGUCCUAGAUGGCAAAUUCUUUUGACAGAAAGCUGUUUCUUUUACACUGAAGAUCUGUUGUUUAUAUAACCACCUUCAUCCAUGAUCUUAGCUGGAUCUGGAUAACUUGUUUUAGCUUCUACAACAGCAUUUUAUGCUUCACCUUGCACUUUUAUGUUAUGGAGACAACUUCUCUCCUUAAACCCCAUAAAUCAAUCUCUGCUAUCGUCCAACUUUUUUCUGCAGCUUCCUCACCGAUCUCAGCCUUCAUAGAAUUGUAGAGAGGGCCUUGCCUUGGAUUGGGCUUUGGUUUAAGAGGAUGUUGUGGCUGGUUUGAUCUUUCAUUUAAAUCACUAAAACUAUAUUCGUAUCAGCAAUAAGCCUGUUUCAAUUUGUCAUCAUUCAUGGGUUCACUGGAGUUACACUUUCAAUUUCCUUCAAGAACAUUUUCUUUGGGUUCCCAAAUUGGCUGUUUGAUGCAAGAGGCAUAGCUUUUGGCUUAUCUUGGCUUUUGACUUGCCUUUCUCACUAAGCUUAGUCAUUUCUACCUUUUGAUUUCAUAUGAGAGGUAUGCAAAUUUUCCUUCUACUUGAACACUUAGAGAAUAUUUUAGGAUUAUUAGUUGGUCUAAUUUCAAUAUUGUUGUGUCUGAGGGAAUAGGAAGGCCUGAGGAGAAGGAGAGAGACUGUUGAAUGAGUCAGCGGAGCAGUCAGUACACAAACAACAUUUAGCGAUUAAGUUUGCUGUCUUCUGUGGAGGUGGUUUGUGGCUUCCCUCCCCAAAUUACAAUGGUAAAAUCAAAGAUCACUGAUCACAAAUCACCAUAACAGAUAUAAUAAUAAUGAAAAAGUUUGAAAUACUAUGAGAGUUACAGAGACACAAAGUGAGAAUAUGCUGUUGGAAUUUUGACACCAAUAGACUUACUUGUUCAAUGCAAGGUUGCCACAAGUUUUAAUUUGUAAAAACUGCAGUAUCUACAAAGUGCUAUAAAAUAAAGCACAAUAAAAUGAGGUCUGACUCUACCUCACUCUCCCUUGUUCUUUUACCAAAGUUUAGCCCACCCUUUCACAAGUAGCACCUUUAUUAAACUCUCCUUAUAUCACUCAACUCUGAUUAAUACAAGUGACUACAUGAUAUGCCUGUCUGUGCUCUGCAGAGACAGCAUUUUCAAAAGACUGUUCUUGAGAUCGAAAUAAAAAAACUUCAAUGUUAAAUUAGCUUCACAGACUAGGUUAAGCAAAAUUAAAUGUGUUUUUACUUUUGAAUCUCAUACUUUGGGGGGUAUAAAUAUUCACUGAGACUCUAUAAGAGAAGGAAAUGGUGAGCAGAAUUUUCUAAAUUUUAUUUUUCCCCCAGAGCAGCUUCUAGGACUAUAAGGGCAGAAUCAAGGUGGGAUUUUAGUAGACUAAUGCUGCAUCCUCCUAAAGGAGGUAAUGUAGAAGGAUUUGAUGGGAGUCAUGGCUGCCAGUAACCACAGGCUCCUAUCCUGGGCUGGUUGGAACAUCUUAAAUAGGACCCUGGGAAGUGUCAGGGGAGGCUGAGGUAAUCCUGCCAAAAUAGUGAUGAUCUCUGGCUGCUGGAUUCAGCUCAUUGGUAUUUCUUCCACCUCCUCCCUAGUGAGGAUUUCUGUUACUGGCUGUCACUUCUUAUCACAAUCUCUCACAACUAUUUCAUUACUUUCUUCUCUCUUCUGGCCACAUCGCAUUUGCAAUGAGACUAUCCAGUUGUCUUUCUGAAAUGAACUAGCCUGCAGAUAUUUCAAAAUAUUCUUUCCUCAACCUUUUCACUGUUUACCCUAUUAUUUUUCCAGGGCUUCGAGGCAUUGGUGUCAAUGAGAACUGACUUCUAUUGUAAUUAUAAGCCAGUGAGAUAGUUUUCUGUUUUUUUUUUUUUUUUUUUUUUGCUUUUUGAACAGCUAACAUUUUAUUUAAAUUAAAAGUGGUAGUUGAACAUAUAAAAAUUUCUAAGGAUGCUUCGUGUUCUAUGUAAACCUAAUAUUUUAUUUAGAGAACAAGGAAUGAAACCAAGGAAGAUAGAAUGACAUCAAAGACGUCAAAUUACAAAUUAGUGACAAAGCUAAAAAAAAAGUCUAAUUUAGCAAUCUGGACUCUCAAUUCCAAUUAUGUCUUAUUUUACCACACAAUUGCUGUCUUCUCUCCUGGCUGCUCUGGGACAAAAACAAUCUCAUAGAAACUGCUGCAGGUAACCGAACAUUCUUUUAUAAUUUAAGAAUAGUCUCUCAUAUUCCUUUUGCAUUUUAUGUAUCCAAAUUUUGGAAAAGUUGACAAAGACAUCAUCUUAAAAACAUCUAACCUAAUCUGACUCGAAAAACUAUAUCUUGAAACCUGACUUCUAGUAUGUAAAAUUAUCAACAGAUCAGCAAACUGGCCAUUUAGAUAUCUAAUUCCAAUGAGAGAUGAAAAAUCAUAGGAAAUUGCAUGAUUUUUAUCUUUCUAUGUAGAAAUAGCAAAG
rnacentral:lncRNA from 1 species